rnacentral:rRNA from 1 species
AUUGAACGCUGGCGGCAUGCCUUACACAUGCAAGUCGAACGGUAACAGGUUAAGCUGACGAGUGGCGAACGGGUGAGUAAUGUAUCGGAACGUGCCCAGUCGUGGGGGAUAACUGCUCGAAAGAGCAGCUAAUACCGCAUACGACCUGAGGGUGAAAGCGGGGGAUCGCAAGACCUCGCGCGAUUGGAGCGGCCGAUAUCAGAUUAGGUAGUUGGUGGGGUAAAGGCCUACCAAGCCUACGAUCUGUAGCUGGUCUGAGAGGACGACCAGCCACACUGGGACUGAGACACGGCCCAGACUCCUACGGGAGGCAGCAGUGGGGAAUUUUGGACAAUGGACGCAAGUCUGAUCCAGCCAUGCCGCGUGCGGGAAGAAGGCCUUCGGGUUGUAAACCGCUUUUGUCAGGGAAGAAAAGGUUCUGGUUAAUACCUGGGACUCAUGACGGUACCUGAAGAAUAAGCACCGGCUAACUACGUGCCAGCCGCCGCCGUAAAAC